GACGAACGCUGGCGGCGUGCCUAACACAUGCAAGUCGAGCGAGUGGAUCUCCUUCGGGAGUGAAGCUAGCGGCGGACGGGUGAGUAACACGUGGGCAACCUGCCUCAUAGAGGGGAAUAGCCUUUCGAAAGGAAGAUUAAUACCGCAUAAGAUUGUAGCUUCGCAUGAAGUAGCAAUUAAAGGAGCAAUCCGCUAUGAGAUGGGCCCGCGGCGCAUUAGCUAGUUGGUGAGGUAACGGCUCAACAAGGCGACGAUGCGUAGCCGACCGGAGAGGGUGAUCGGCCACAUUGGGACUAAGACACGGCCCAGACUCCUACGGGAGGCAGCAGUGGGGAAUAUUGCACAAUAGGGGAAACCCUGAUGCAGCAACGCCGCGUGAGUGAUGACGGCCUUCGGGUUGUACAGCUCUGUCUUCAGGGACGAUAAUGACGGUACCUGAGGAGGAAGCCACGGCUAACUACGUGCCAGCAGCCGCGGUAA
rnacentral:rRNA from 1 species